ACUGUACGACAUUUCAUUUAACAUUACAAUUAACAGUCUCAUUUUAUUGUAUAAAUAAUAAUGUUUAGAGUAAAUUUAAGAUUAAUUUAUAAACACUUUUUUCGAAUAUAUGAAAAAAAUACAUAUAAGUACACAACUGAAAUAAUCUUUGCUAUAUUACACUACUGCUGUACAAUUAGUUCUUUACUGAUCCGUACAGUACGCUCUUUUCGAAGUGCUAGUUAAUUUAUUUUUACAACUAUUGAUGGAAAUUUGAUGGGUGCAACUAAAUUGCUCGGGUAUUAUAUCAAGAGAUAUUGUUUGAUAGUAUCAAUACCACUAAUUACAUUGACUUCUAUAUAUUACGAUCAAAAGCGUACUCGUUGGUGGAAAAAUCAACAGUUACUUGAGCAGCAACAAAAUAGUUAAGAAGUAAACUAAUCAAGAUGAUAACUUUGAAAUAUCUGGUCAGUGUAUAUUAUCCAGUAGUGAUUCCUAUAAGCGGAUUUAUAUUUGGAAGUAUUUUAGACCAUUAUGACAAUUUAAGAUUAACUAAAUUCAGAGAUAAAUCUGCUUUAUACGGAAGGGAACUUGCACCUGGAGAACCACCUUCGUGGCCAUAAUUUAGAAUAACUAUGAACAUAUUUAAUUCAAAUGUGUAUUACAAUUAAAACCUUUAAUCUAUGUAGACGAAUUCAAAUAUAGAUUUAAAUUCAUCUCUAAACGAU